UGCCCAGGGAUGGGAAUCGAACCCACAAUGUUCCGCUUACCGGGCAGAUGCCAUGUCCACUAGGCUACCCUGUAC
rnacentral:tRNA from 1 species